CGCGCAGGCGGUCGAUCAAGUCGAGUGUGAAAGCCCCCGGCUCAACUGGGGAGGGUCAUUUGAAACUGGUCGACUCGAAGGCAGGAGAGGGUAGUGGAAUUCCCGGUGUAGUGGUGAAAUGCGUAGAUAUCGGGAGGAACACCAGUGGCGAAGGCGACUACCUGGCCUGUUCUUGACGCUGAGGCGCGAAAGCUAGGGGAGGCAAACG
rnacentral:rRNA from 1 species